AGAGGAGUGUGACCGUGACAUCUGUCGUCCUGGGGAUCUCCAGGGUUGAUUAGGCUGAUCUAGCUGGCUCGUCAUGUGUUCCCUUCCUCUCAAUUUGCUCCACAUGCAGCCCUCCCAGAGCUGCAUGCUCUAUCAGAGAUGAUAGCCUUCCUUGAUACAGGAGGACCAUUGUUUGGUCACAGGUAUGGGAGUAGCUACCCUCCCCUGCUAGAAUCUCUAAAGAAGCUGUUGAGAUGGGCAGAAAGCAGUGUUGCUUCCUCUUUCUCCUCACUCAAACACCAGACUAUGUUGAAGGGUAUAAGGCUUUCUG
ensembl:misc_RNA predicted gene, 25845